rnacentral:rRNA from 1 species
UACGUAGGGGGCGAGCGUUGUCCGGAUUCAUUGGGCGUAAAGCGCGCGUAGGCGGCUUCGUAAGUCGGCCGUGAAAUCUCCAGGCUUAACUUGGAGGGGUCGGGCGAGACUGCGGAGCUCGAGGUGGGCAGAGGGCAGUGGAAUUCCUGGUGUAGCGGUGAAAUGCGCAGAUAUCAGGAGGAGCACCGGUGGCGAAGGCGGGUCUCUGGGCCGAUACUGACGCUGAGGAGCGAAAGCGUGGGGAGCGAACAGG